rnacentral:lncRNA from 1 species
CCCCUGCAACUAGGAGCAGCUUUGUGACCUAGUUCCAGCCCAUGAGAUAUAAGCAAAAUCCACAAGAUGAGAAUUCUGGGAGAUUGAUGAUUUCCCUUAUGAAAAAAAAGCAUAUUUAGAAAUAGGUGUCUUUUUCCUUCUUUCUGCCGGGAACAUCAAUGUAAUACCUGGAGAUGGGGUAGCUCUCUAUGACCAUGAAGAAGAAAGCCACACACAAAAAAUGGAUGAUCAGAAAGUGAAAGGAGCCUCCUUCUGGACUUCUUGUUACAUAGGAAAAAUCUUUCCUUAAGACACUGUAAUUGAAUUUCUGUUACAUGCAGGCUAACUCAAACCUAACCAGAAUAAUUGUCAAAAAUGCUUCAAUUUAAUCUGAACUUAAUUGUCCAAGACCUUCUCUACAGGCCAGUGUGGCAGGCAGCCAGCGCAUUCUUAAAUUGCUUUAGCCUGUCAUCUCACCACUUGGGCAUUCUUGAUGAGAUGAAGUAUGGAUGCCUGUGACCCCUACCAAGCCAUGCAGAUGAGCAGCUGAUAUCUAUGGAUCUGAGUAAGCGCUGAAUGGUGACCUCAGAGGGUAGGGGUUAAUAAAGAUGAUGAUGAUGAUGAUGAUGAUGAUAAUGAUGAUAGUAGUUAAUAUCUCUAUUUUUAAAAUCUGCCUUCUAAACAUGAAGUAGCUAAUAUUUCUAAAGCACCUACUAUGUGCUAGCCACUGUGGUAAGCACUUGAUAUGCCUUCUCUCAUUUAAUACUUAUGAACUAAG